AUUGAACGCUGGCGGCAUGCUUUACACAUGCAAGUCGAACGGUAACAGGCCGCAAGGUGCUGACGAGUGGCGAACGGGUGCGUAAUGCAUCGGAACGUGCCCAGUCGUUGGGGAUAACUACUCUUAAGAGUAUCUAAUACCGCAUACGAUCUAUGGAUUAAAGCAGGGGACCGUAAGGCCUCGCGCGAUUGGGUCGGCCGAUGUCGGAUUAGGUAGUUGGUGGGGUAAAGGCUCACCAACCCAACGAUCUGUAGCUGGUCUGAGAGGACGACCAGCCACACGGGGACUGAGACACGGCCCAGAAUCCUACGGGAGGCAGCAGUGGGGAAUUUUGGACAAUGGGCGCAAGCCUGAUCCAGCAAUGCCGCGUGCAGGAAGAAGGCCUUCGGGUUGUAAACUGCUUUUGUACGGAACGAAACGGCUCUGGUUAAUACCCGGGGCUAAUGACGGUACCGUAAGAAUAAGCACCGGCUAACUACGUG
rnacentral:rRNA from 1 species